rnacentral:lncRNA from 1 species
AGAGUCAGUUUAUGCUGCAUGUUUGCUGCCCUUUUAUUAUCAUAUAGAAACUGCGUCCAUUUUAAUGUGUGUGUGUAUACCUUACAUUGAAUAUUGUUAUUGACCUAAACAUGCUAGUCUUGAUAUGUUUUCAAUGAUUUGCGUACUAGGUGCAUUCUUCGAUGAACAUAUAGCAGAACAAAUUUUUGGCAAUAAAGGAUUGCAGCUAUUGGUCGGCCACUGAAGUGUUUCUUGGUAGGAGACUUGUGCUGAUUAAUUAGCCAACUUGCCACUCAAUUCUCUUUUAUUAGUACGCUAUUUGUUCAACGGUUUCCUAAAUUUGGGUUGUAGCAAUAUUUACAUACAUUGU